AAGAGCUCACAGCAAUGACAAGUGACCAAUUCCUUUGAAGACAUAACUGUUACUUGAAUCUGUGAGGAAAAAGUUGGUAGAAGGAUAAAUAGAGAAGCUAGAGGAAAAUCAGCAGUAGUUAGGGUUAAAGUACAGAUCAUUUGAGAGGACUUUAACUGUUUGGCCUGUAAGUGAAGCUUAGAGGGAUUACCAGGGCAUUGGUCUCAGUUUUUAUAUUUGCUUAUUAGACGUAAGCUCAAUAGACUGUGGAGAAAGAAGCAGCAGAGCAGCUGCCCAGCUGCUGCUUCUACCCAAACAGCAGUACUGACAAUAAAAGGUAAGGUACAGCUGUGGGCGGAAACUCAGAAUUUAUAAAACUAGAGGCAUUUCAGUCCUUGAAUGAUUUUUGUCAAGUACACCAAUGCAGGAGGUACUUUUUGUAACAGAGGACUUGAUGUGCGGUUCAAAGAGGACAUGGCCAAGCUGCUUCCCAGUGUCUGCUCAGUUCUCAGAGGACCAGAAGUUGACUGGAAGGCACUCAGAAUUCCUGAAAACAGCUUUCUAUUUCUCUGCCUCCCCAUAUGCAGUAGCGAAGCCAGAACAUAAAGAUCACAAUUCGAUGUAACCAUCUCUCCCUGAGGACUACAGUUCCCACAAUUCCGUCUUGAAAACAAACGAUGUUGGGCCAUCGUGCUCUUAAUCCACAUGAAAGGACAACUCACAGCAAUAAUGUGUGUUCUUUUAAUAGAAAUAUUUUUCCUGUGACUGUCAGCAUCUGUAUUUGUUGCCACGAAAUAUUUCACAAAGUACACUUAUAAUAUUACCAAAAUAAAAUGCUGUAGCCACUGCUCA
rnacentral:lncRNA from 1 species